GCAGUGUGGCCAGUGUGGAGUCUUCCAAGCGCCUGCAUGGUUCUUCGACUGAGCUGUCGUGAGCCGUAGCAUGUUACUGACGUUGUAGUGUGAAUGAUUCAACCAGGUAUGGGGUGCAUUUUAUAGACCUGGUCCCGGUGAACAGCACGUGCAGCAUGAGUUUCAUGAAAAUCAUGGAGAACACAUUACCAUCUCAGAAGUCAGGUUGCGUUUUUGAGAACAUUUCCUGGGUUCAAUUCUGUGUUUGGGAAGGAACCUUCUUGCUCAGGUUCCAAAGAAUAGAGCUUCAAUAAUAUCUCUCAGUACCGUGUAGAAGUUGUGAUGUUGUAUGAAGAUUAAAAUGAUGAUGUUGCAGUCUUCAACAACAAUGUCUUUCGAAGAACAAAGCAAAAGAAUCCUGAUUAUUGUACAAUUUAAAACAAUGUACAGACAACCUGACGAACAUUUGCCCAAAACAGCUUUUAAAAAUGCUUUCCAACUCAUAUAUCAAACUAUGUAUUUGAAUUUAUUUUUAGAGGAACAAUUUUAAAUAAAUAUAACCGAUGAUGUGCUAAAAUUUUAAUAGAAGUUAAUAUUUGUGUUGAUCAAUCUAAUUAAAACUAGAAGUUUUUUGUGUAUAUCGAUCAAAUUAAAGCUAUAUGUUGUUUUUUGUAUAUCAAUCUUAUUAAAACUAGAUGUUGUUUUUUGUAUA